CUCCGUUCGUACUCGGAAGAAAUCGAGGGAAGAGAUGAAAGGUCCGGAAUACGAAGUCUUCGCAUCCUCAUCGAAAACGUUCGCAAAACGCAUGGCGGUCAGCCUCGAUACGCCUUCGCCAAUGAUAAGAUAAAAGGUAUGCGCGAGUAGGCGCCAUCGUGCGACCGCCCACGGAGAAGGUGUAUUUCUGUGUUCGUACGUAGGCAAACGAGCGGUGCGGCCAAGUGUGACGCUUAACCUACGCGAACCACCCGAUCAGGGACGCAUCAAGGCUCUUUACGAAAUUACGUAUCGAUCGAAUAUAUGCGUUUAUGCGUCUGAGUGUAUGUUCGAGCAGCCCACAAGAGUCUAUUAACGAGGCAUAAGGCGUAUAUAAGCAAUAUUUUUAAGUGCAUAAACGGAGGUUCCGUGGGCGAGCCCCCGCUCUUUAGGGUCGUACGUCGUCGCGAGGAUUCCGCUCCUGUCUUGAGCGCACAAAAAAUCGUACGAUUGUAUGCUCGAUCGGUAGCAACGAGUGAGAUAAUAGCGAAAGUAGUAUAUAUUUCUUUUUUCUGUUUCUCUUUCAUAUAUAUAUAUAUAUGUAUGUAUGUAUGUGUGUGUGUGCGUGUGUAUGCGCGAUUAAAAUGAACACAAAAUCUAUUUUAAUAAAACGUGAAAACUUAUCAAUCGUUCAAAAGGGGGAGUGUCUCUCGAUCAUCAGUGCCUUAUCGCUUUUAACUCGUCUUGAGAAAGAAUCGAACGAAAGUUAUUACAAUGGAAAUUGUUGGAAUUAAUGUAUAUUUAUAAUAUAAUAUAAUAUAAUAUAAUAUAAAUUGUCCCUGUUACAGGAAAUACAGCAAAAAGUAUAUUAGACGGUAAAGGUUUUCCCCUUUAUUCCUUUGUCUCGUGUCGUAUUCCACGUAUUUACGUUCGCUCGAUAAUUUCGAAGAACGUCGAUCGAUCAUACCACGACGACGAUGUCCGUCUUCCUGUCUUCAUUUUGUUACUUACAACCCUUACAUAUAGCGUCCUGAUUUUUCCUAAUUUAUGUAAAUAAAGGAAAAAAGAAAAAAAUAAUUCGAUUCUUUCGAUGCGAGAAGCGAACGACUCUUUUCAAAGUGUGAUUUAUAAUAUAAUAAUCAAAAACUUUAUCGCCUUAUGUAAUGUAAAAACGAUCGAGACUAUCUGAGAUGAGAUAAAGUAAAAUGGAAGUUUGUGAAACGAAUAAGAGUAUAUUUGUUUAUAUGUGAGAGAGAAAGAGAGAGAGAG